rnacentral:rRNA from 1 species
GACGAACGCUGGCGGCGUGCUUAACACAUGCAAGUCGAGCGAGGCCCUCCUUCGGGGGGUGCCCUAGCGGCGAACGGGUGAGUAACACGUGGGCAACCUGCCCUCAGCUCUGGGAUAACUCCAAGAAAUUGGUGCUAAUACCGGAUGUGACCGCUGACCGCAUGGUCUGGUGGUGGAAAGAUUCAUCGGCUGGGGAUGGGCCCGCGGCCUAUCAGCUUGUUGGUGGGGCACGGCCCACCAAGGCGACGACGGGUAGCCGGCCUGAGAGGGUGACCGGCCACACUGGGACUGAGACACGGCCCAGACUCCUACGGGAGGCAGCAGUGGGGAAUAUUGCGCAAUGGGCGAAAGCCUGACGCAGCGACGCCGCGUGAGGGAUGACGGCCU